GACGAACGCUGGCGGCGUGCUUAACACAUGCAAGUCGAACGGAAAGGCCCUGCUUUUGUGGGGUGCUCGAGUGGCGAACGGGUGAGUAACACGUGAGUAACCUGCCCUUGACUUUGGGAUAACUUCAGGAAACUGGGGCUAAUACCGGAUAGGAGCUCCUGCUGCAUGGUGGGGGUUGGAAAGUUUCGGCGGUUGGGGAUGGACUCGCGGCUUAUCAGCUUGUUGGUGGGGUAGUGGCUUACCAAGGCUUUGACGGGUAGCCGGCCUGAGAGGGUGACCGGCCACAUUGGGACUGAGAUACGGCACAGACUCCUACGGGAGGCAGCAGUGGGGAAUAGUGCACAAUGGGCGGAAGCCUGAUGCAGCAACGCCGCGUGCGGGAUGACGGCCUUCGGGUUGUAAACCGCUUUCGCCUGUGACGAAGCGUGAGUGACGGUAAUGGGUAAAGAAGCACCGGCUAACUACGU
rnacentral:rRNA from 1 species